AACUCUUAACAAUAGAUAUAUCAGCUCUCUCAUUGAUAAAUAAUGUAGCAAAAUAUGAUACUUGGUGUGAAUUGUAGAAUCACGUGAACCGUCGAGUAUUUGAAUUCAAGUUGCGGCCAAAGCCAUUAAGUCGAGGGCACGCCUACCUGGGCGUGA
rfam:Capsicum annuum cultivar Zunla-1 chromosome 5, whole genome shotgun sequence